CUUUACAUUGCGGAAGUGAUUUCACAAGGACGGGGCUGACAACAGAAUGAAUUUGUAUUUCAAAAACUAAUGAGAAGGAAUAAGUUUGCCAAGGAUUCCCUCAUCUUUCAAAAUGACUUCAGCACAAGGAGAUACACAUACGAAUGACGUCGACGUCGUCUGUCAUUCUCAACCAUCGACAUGCUCUCUGGAUCCUGUCGACAACUUGCCAAAUGAAACUCUAUGGAAGAUAAUUGGUUUUCUGUCAGUAGAAGACUUGUGUCACCUGGCUGUAUGCAGCAAGGCAUGGAGGAACGUUACCAACACCAACAGCCUGUGGCUUCAUCUUUGUAAGCUGAGAGAUUGGGAGCGUUUUGGUACGGAAGUAGAUCUCCUCAAAGAGAAGCCAAUCCACUCUACAGAGACCAGCACCAGUGGUACCAGUCCAACCUUUCAGGCUGAUUCGGUCAUUACUGUUGACUGUAACUUGAAGGAUCUUGCACCAACCUGUGAAUGGAAGGAGGUGUACAUGAGAGCUUGGCAUCUGGACAGGAACUGGUGAGAGGGGCGUUACCGGGAGCACUUGCACGUAUUGUCAGACCAAAGUGACAGGAAAACAAGUUGUGUAGCAAGCGACGGCAGAACAUUCGCGGCUGGUGACGAUCUUGGGUGCGUGCGACUUUGGGAUUUGAAUAGUGGAAGUUUUCUUCGGAAGAUUCAACCCUCCAAAUUAGUCCGUUUACCACGACCUUUGCAUGACGACAGUGACACGCAUGACGACAGUGACAUUGCCAUAAACCACAUGGCUCUGAAAAAUAACAUUGGAGUUGCCGUAUUCAUUGGAGGCAUUCUGGUAUUUGAGGGCAGCUCAGGCAAUGUUUUGAAACUGAUACAAGGAAAUGCGACUAACUUUGAUCGAUAUUUGCCAUUUAACUUACACUUUGAAGACAACAAAAUCAUAGUCACUUAUCUGUGGAACCAUGACUUUCUCCCUUUACACAUUUGGGAUAUCAGUGAUUUGGUUAAGGGUGGAGAAAAUGGUGCAUGUACAGAAACCAUACUCAACACUGGAGAAAUAGGGGUAUCCCAUUAUAUGGGUUGUCAUGGACACUUUGUUAUCACAUCUACAGAACUGAAUACUGAAUUCCUUCUUUGGGAUACGACAACGCCUAAAAUGGUAAGGAUAUACAAAGGACA